CUCUUCUGCUGCACCACAAAGAAUUCUCCUCAUGGCAUCGCACCUUGCCCUGAGAGAUGCUAGGGAGAGAAGCAUCUACGACAAGCUAAAGACAGGAGCUUUGUACGCACGCCAGUCCUUGAUGAAGUAUUUCUUUGUGAAGCAGGUAUGGCCACUGAACUCAAUACUAUCUUUCAGUUUGUUGGAUGGAGUUCUUUUGCAACCAUUACUGAGUUAGGGUCUAUGUCUAAGCUUUUAACCAUAGAAUUUCUUUGCACCCUACAACUUAUAGAAACAAGAAUUUAUUUUAGAUUGUUUACCUAAGAAUUCUGUUUCACAUGGAGAAACCUUAGUGAUCUUUUAGGCUUCCUUCCAAACACAUGCAUAGACUUAGAAGAGUCCUUAAAAGAUUAUGACACCCAUAAAUUUUGGACUGAUAUUUCUAAAGAGCCCUUCUUUCAUAGCAACCGAACAAGAGACAUUGAGCACCCCACACUCAGGUUUUUACAUAAGUGGUUGGGCACAGCUUUCUUCCCCCGGGAUGACGCUAGCAAAAUAAGAGUCAUAGAUUUACUACUGAUGUAUAUAGCAGUAAAGAAAAUUAGAGUGUCUCCUAUGCAUACUUUGGUAGAAUACUGGUUAAGUACCUGAUUACAAAGUAGGGGAUGUGGCUAUUUGCUCAAUUAUCACUAGUUUAGCUAUUAAUCUUAAAUUACUUGAUGAUGCUUUUUUAGAUUUUAUUGAUACACAUAGGCAAAUUUAUGGUUAUGAACACUUCAAUCAUGCUCACAUAGUAAAAAGAAUAAAAAGAGAAUUAUUUAUGACCUAUGGUGAGACCAAGCUCCGGUUACCUAACUCGGAGAUGGCAUUGUAUUCUGUCCAGACAUUGCACAUUGAAUUUUAGGCUAGACCGAUAAACAGGAGGGGUACAGCUCCUCAGAGAGCACCUCAGAGGACAGCCUCUGAGAGAUUCACAUGUCAACACGAGCCUGUCUGGCUCGGAGCUGAUCCCGUUCGAGAGGAGCCAGCACACACCAGUUAUGAUGACUGGCAAGCUCGCCAGCGUCAUAUACUGAACCUAGAGAUGUAUCCUCCAUACCAUCCAGCCUAUCAGCCAUAUGGGUACUAUCAGCCGCCACCAUUUGUCCCUACUAGGGAAGGAACUGCAGGCGAAGCACUAAGGCAUUCAUUUGAUGCCUAUGGUAUGAGGAUGGAAGAAGAAGAACCAAGAAAUGAUUUUGAGCAAGGACGCAGGUCUGAUGCUACUAGGUUCUUUUAUACCCAGUAGCAUAUGAUGAACCAAUCGAUUUCCAAAACUACAUCAACACUUCUCUUGCUCAUAAUGAGCAGAAUUAGAAUGAGCAGCGCUAGUGGAAUCAGAACACCACUCAGACUCUGGCCACCAUUAGAGAAGGACAAGACCAAGUAAAUAGCACUUUAAAUGAUAUCUUCAUGUUCCUGCAAAUCCCGAAAGAAGACUAGCUUGGGGGAGGACCCCCGUUGUCAAGGUAAGUUUUCUUUCUCUUCAUUUCAAUUUAUUUUCUUUUAUUGCAUAUACAAAAUAAAUAUUUUGCUGUUUAAUUUAGUGUUUAAGUUUGAGUUUGUUUAAAAAUGAAAACCAAAUAAAAAUAGUGUGUAAUAUAAAUUUGUUUUAUUUUUCUAUUAAGUUUGCUAUAAAUAAAAUAUGUAGAGAUGAAGAAUGUAUGAUGGAAAUGAUGAAUAGUUGCUCUAUCGUAAUUUUUUUUGAAGUACCUAGUUUCAAAUUUGAGUUCUCCCAAGGAUUGGAUACACUAUUUGACAACUGAAUUUACUCUACUCUUUAAACAUGUGGGAACAUAUGCUUAAACUAAGUCUAGGUAGUUGAUGGAUAUGAUAUGAUAUAGUCUGAGCUAUUGUUUAUUAUGUUCUUAGUGCUACUAAAUUCUAGAGAUUUGUUUUGCAAAAAUUUAAAAAUAUUUCAUGAUGAGUUCUAUGUAUGACAGAGAGUACAAAAUUCCGACCACAGCCAUAUUUAUUUAAAAAAGGAAGCCUCCACAUAUUUGUAGGUCUUAUGUUUGCUCGAGCUGUGUUGACCCUUAGGAACUCAUCAUGUUGCUAAUCCCAAUAUCACACACACUCAUUUUCACCCUUUGCUGCUUCUACUCUGGAAGUACGCACCACAUAUAUUCCAUCUUCACCUAUUUAAAAAUGUUCCACUCUUACACUGAUAGUGAACACGAAAAAAUAUUUUCCCCUAUUCAUUUGCUAGACAUUUACUUCAAGUUCAAUGCUCCAAGUUUCAUUUUUCUUCCUCUACAAAUUUUCAAAAAGAGAGUUAUUUGGCUACAAGAAAAAUAUUGGACAAAAGUCCCAUGUAAAAAAAGGAAGAGAAAAAGAUCCAUGAGCCCAAGAUUAUCAUCAAGUUUUUAUAUUUCAAAGUUAGAGGAAUCAUUUUAAAUAAAAGAGCAUUAGAAUUAUUUUUCACCCCUUCUCCUUCCACAAAUAUUCUCUAGUUUAGCAGCCACAUAUAAAACCACACAUGCACAACCGGUUGGUUUUGUGGUGAGUUUAUUUGGAUCCAUGGUUUGAUCAGACCCAAUGCAUUAGUUAUCUCCACACAUGUGAGCUCCACAUAAGCUUUAUUAGAUAUAGGGUGAGAGAGAGUAAAGGUUGUAUAAAAUGACUUGUGCCACAAAUACCACAUAUUGAGAGACUUGAAAGGGUCAUACUACAGAACUCUGAGUUUUAUUUUUAAAAUCUUAUAAAAACUCCAGAACAGAGGUGGAACAACAGAGCAUGAGACAAUAGUGCUUGACUUAAUUGUUCUGUCUUUCAACUGCUCAAGACCUAAAUAUAAGUAAAAGUCCCAUGGUUGGAAGAAACAUGCGUAAGUUUGGGAUGAGUUCUUAUUUAAAGCAUGUGUACUUGUAAAGUGUGAAAGCAUUGUAGCAACUCCUGAUCCAUCUCUUAUAGCAAUUUGCUUAGGGACGAGCAAAAGAUAAGCUUGGGAGAGUUUGUUGAUGGUUUUAACCAUCAAAUUUAUAUAUAAACUAAGGAGAAGAAAGGGGAUAAAAACUGAACAUCACCAUAGACUUAGGGUUUUCACUAACAAUUUCCACGAGUUUUGGUGAAUGUCUGUUUCUGCAGGGGGUUAUCAGAAAAUAACCAAAAGGAGGUCCACACGUCAGAUUUACAUAGAGAGAAGACCCCGUCGGUAACUCAGGAAUACUCUAGAAGACUCAGGAAGAUAGCACCCCAGAGUUGGGGCCCACCUGUCAUUGGGCAGGGGUGGGCGCUGAAGCCCUAGGGGCGGCCGCCCGGGGUUACCCACCAAUCAGGUGCAACCUCGUGGAUCUUGCCUCUAUCGCCUUUGAGGAGUAAUCUUGGCCAUCAAUCAAGGUCGGUUUGAUCCGAGGGCUGUGGUGCUUCCUAGGAGGCUAUAAAUACAACCCUGACCCCCUAGAGGAGAGCUUAGAAUAAGAAAAACAUAAUUAUUUUUAUUCUCAUAUGAGAAUUAGAGGUAGCCAUUAGAGCUAGGGAUUAGAGAUCUCUCCACCAGAGAAUUAGAUUAGCUACUCCUAAUCUUCAUCUUCUAUAUAGGUUUAGACUAGAUAGAGAAAGAGUCGGGCGCCUGUGCUAGGAAUUUCUAGAUCUUCAUCAUCAAAUAUUAGUAUUAUCUUAUAUGUUUCUUUUGACUUUAUUCUAAAUAUCAUUAUGUUUCUAUUUAUGAUGUUCCUAGUUUAUUCUAGUUCUACAUUUGAUAUGGUUAUGAUUGAUAAUGAGUUUAUGUAUAUGUUUGCAAAGCGCUUAGCUCUCUUCGCGGGAGGGUUAGGUGAUAGAUGUCAUAUAAGCAUGGUGCUUAGAUGUCGUUUAUCAACAAUUACACCCUAUUGGUUGGGUCGCGUGAUAGAUCGCAGAAGUGACAGUUCUGUUGAGUCCUCUGUAUUCCAUCCCCGUUGGUAGGACAGGUAGAACCGCAGUUGCGUAGGAAGUCCAGCUAUGUCUUGGCUUUUUUAUAGCAAUGUUUCUUAUACAUAAAUGAAGAGUCUUUUAUGCUAUAUAUGAUAGUGUAGUAUUAGGAUAGAUGAAUGACUUGGUAAAUUAGAACUACUUAGGUUUUUCUAUCUCUUGAACUAAUCAGGCGUCUACCUACUAUUAUGCUGAGUAGUCUACAUCUAAUCUCUGUGUGAUUUAUCCCCUGAUCUUUUAUACUUUAUAUCAUUUAUUUAUCAUGGUUUACCCUCCUGCCAAGUAUGUGACUGUAACCCAAUCACUCAUAAGUAGUCAUAUUUUAUAAGUUUAUCUCAUUGUUUAAGUCUUUAGUUCUUUUCCUUGAGCUAAAUAUAAAUAACGAUACCUGGAAUACUUAUCUGUGAAGUUCUACAAUGGUAUUUAAUCUGUACGUUUGCAGAUCUUAUAUUUAUUUUAUUAGUGGGCAGUUUUUAUACCACACUUUCUGUCGUCAUGCUAGGGAUGACAACUUAGCUUAAGUGAUGUUAGAAGUGUCAACAAUGAUCCAUGCAACAAGCUUUACAGGGAUGGAAAAGUCAAACAUGGCAAGUAAAGCACCUAAGCCAGCCUCUUGUAUCCACCCUAUUUGAUCUUGAUUGAAUUUGUGCUCACGUAUGUGGACACGGAUCCUAUGCAAUGAAAAUCGGGUUUUAAAGGCCUCGCCAUUACUUUUGCAUUUGGUUUUGGGAACAUUAAUUGUUGUGUAAAAAUGAGAAAAAGAACUGCAUAUUAAAAUUAAAUUCGAAAAUUGCGGUAUACAACAUAUGAAGAAGGCAUGAAACAAUGGAC
rnacentral:lncRNA from 1 species